UAUGUCACUGGGCAUUGGCUUUGAGGUUUCAAAUGCUCAAGCCAGGCCCAGUGUCACUCU
rnacentral:ncRNA from 2 species